rnacentral:rRNA from 1 species
UGGGGAAUAUUGCACAAUGGACGGAAGUUUGAUGCAGCGACGCCGCGUGGAGGGUGUAGGCCUUCGGGUUGUGAACUCCUUUUUCUCGCGAAAAAGGCACAGUUUUGGCUGUGUUGAUGGUAGUGGGGGAAGAAGCGCCGGCUAACUACGUGCCAGCAGCCGCGGUAAUACGUAGGGCGCGAGCGUUGUCCGGAUUUAUUGGGCGUAAAGAGCUCGUAGGUGGUUCGUCGCGUCUGUCGUGAAAGCCAGCAGCUUAACUGUUGGUCUGCGGUGGGUACGGGCGGGCUUGAGUGCGGUAGGGGUGACUGGAAUUCCGGGUGUAGCGGUGGAAUGCGCAGAUAUCAGGAGGAACACCGAUGGCGAAGGCAGGUCACUGGGCCGUUACUGACACUGAGGAGCGAAAGCGUGGGGAGCGAACAGG